ensembl:lncRNA
AUUAGAAAGGGUGCAACCAGCAGAGUGAGGGAGGUGUUACAUUACCAUCUGAGCUGUAGACAACGUAAAUGCUGUUUAUCCUGAUGUAGGCUAGGAUGUCUAAGGGAAUUUGAGAGACCCUGUCAUAUUUAUCCAGAGGAGCAGCUGCUAAUGAGGAACAUCUCGCAGACAUCAAUAAAAUAUUGAUCACGGUAACUGUGAGGGUGAGGAAGAUAAUUCUGUGUACUCUGAUCCAACAGAGACAGACCACAGCCUGAAGUUUAGGAUGUUCAUAAGAGAACCAAGACUUUCUCCAAACCCAAGUCCCACUUGAUGUUACUAUUAUGGGCCUACAUUCGCAUUUCUCACUAAAAAUUAACAUAUUUGUUUUGCUCUGAGAAAGCAGAUGACAUAUUGAGAGGUAAUUAGCAGUUCUACACUUCUUAGUCAAAUUGCUUUCAUUUUAUAUAUAUUGGAAAAAAGGCAAUCAAAAUCAGCUUCAUGAAAAUCUGUUUGUCUCUCAUCUGUCAAAUGAUUCCAUACUGAAAUUAUGCCCCCAAGCAAAGUGCUUCAUGGCAGAAAACUGUUUGAAAAUCUAAGCUGUUAACACAUAUGUAUGAAUCUUGAAAUAAUCUUUCUGAAUACAGGGAAAGCCUCCAGUAGAGCUAAGUUCCAGUCUUUAGUUGUUAGUCUGCUACUUGAUAUAACAUUUGGUCUGUUGCUAUAGCUUUCAUAUUUCUGUAUAAUUAUUUUGCUGACUGUCCAAGGAAAGGUUAUUCAAAUAAUUCCCUGUAACUUGUUCUCUUUAGCAGAAAAGUCAUGAAUGAAAACACUAGCUAAACCCCCAGGAAAGAUAAAGCAAAAAGUGUCUUUUCUGCAUUUCCCUGAACCUGCAGAGCUGGAGAUACACAUACAACUCAGUGAAAUUAGUGAAAACCUACAAACAUGUACCACAGGCUCAGUCUCAAGGACAAUUUUUAUGUUGAUGUCUACAAAUGAAUAUAAGUUUGUUUGCAUUCCUGUGACAGAGAACUACUGCUUAAGUCAAGUAAAAAGUUACCAUAAUGACCCAUUACAAACAAGGAAAAUAAUUUUUCUUUCCAAUUAAGUUCAGACUUAUCUGCAGGGUGAUAAUGUCAAGAAAACACCAGUGUUAACACUGGCUAAUUUCUCCAUUGUGCAAUGGAGGAAGAGUAGCACGUUUAGCAUGUACCACACUAACUCAUGUCACUGAGGCAAUUAUAUUUUUGAUGUUUAACUAUGUUAUUAGUAGGCAGUAAGCUGCAACCCAGCUUCAAAAAUUCAUCAUAAAUCCUGUGCAUAAAUGCUUGUAAAAAAUUUUGUUCUGGUCUCUCUUUGCCUUGUCACACUUCCAGUAAAACCACUGUAUC